AUGUUUUCUGCCACUCAUUCUGUUCUUGUGAUCUUCUUAAUAUUCAGAGGGACCAAUGGAGACUCAGUGAACCAGACAGAAGGCCCAGUGACUGUCUCAGAGGGGGCGCCUAGGACCCUGCACUGCACUUACCAGACCUCUGGUUCAAAUAUCUAUCUUUUCUGGUACGUCCAGUAUCUCAACAAAGCUCCGCAACUCCUCCUGAAGGGCUCGAAGGCAAACCGGAGGGCAGAGCAUCAAGGUUUUCAGGCCACUCUUGUUACGAGUGACAGCUCCUUCCACCUGCAGAAACCCUCAAUGCAAGCAUCAGACUCGGCUGUGUACUACUGUGCUCUGAGUGACACGGUGAGAGGGGCUGCAGGGGGAGCUGAACACAAACCCAAGGGGAGCAGGAGGGCUGAAGUGAGCAGCCUUGGGAGGAAGAGGUAUAUUCUCUCCUUGGGCAGUGUUUAG